rnacentral:rRNA from 1 species
UACAGAGGGGCAAGCGUUGUUCGGAAUUACUGGGCGUAAGGGCGCGAUAGGCGGCCUUCUAAGUCGAACGUGAAAUCCCCGGGCUCAACCCGGGAACUGCGUCCGAGUACUGGAAGGCUUGAAUCCGGGAGAGGGAUGCGGAAUUCCAGGUGUAGCGGUGAAAUGCGUAGAUAUCUGGAGGAACACCGGUGGCGAAGGCGGCAGUCCUGGACCGGCAUUGACGCUGACGGCGCGAAAGCCAGGGGAGCAAAGCGGGAGUUAAGCAAACCCGUAGUACG